ensembl:lncRNA
GAUCACUCUCACAUACAUAAAGAGGGUCGACUUUAUUGCGCGCAGGAGGCAGAGAAGAGGAGGGAGGUGCAGAAUCAGGGACAAGUUCGCUUUUAUAUUUAUUUAUUUUUCGGGGGGGGAAAAAAAACGAGAAGUUUGAAGAGGGCAGCAGAGGGGAGGAGAGAAGGAGGGAGAGAGAGAGAGAGAGAGAGAGAGAGAGAGAGAAUGGGGAAGGAGGAGAACGACUAGAAGAGAGGCGCAGAGAGACGGACGGAUGGAGGAGAAGCGUGCAGCGGCGAGCAGGAGAAACAAAGCGUGCUGACUGAGGACGUGUGCGCGGGCCAUGUGCUCAGGAGCUCCACACUCGAGGAAGCUGGCUGCAGGUCGGGCGUUUUUUUUCACCACGAGUCCGACCGAAUGCAGAUCUCCGGGGGAUGAAGGUGUCGGCGACGGCGUUUUGUCGAGGCGCCCGUGAGCGACGUGCUCCUCUGAAACCUCUCGUUCACGGGCCCGCCACUCUGGGGGAGCGGCGCGAAAGGUCGCCCGGCGACCGGGCCCGAGGGUCAGCGACUGGUUGGCCCGAUUCAUCACAGCUCAUCCCAGAGACGCCGCCGCACCACCAGAGACGCCAGCGUCCUCCUAAGGCGGACCCCCCCCCGCCCCCUCCUGCCGAGGAGAACCGGCCGGCCUUUGGCGGUUCACGGCUGCGUGGCUCCUGCCGGUUGCUCAGUAGGCAGUGUAGAUCCUGUGUAGCAAUCAGCAGCUACAUCUGGCUACUGGGUCUCCGGCGGCUCGGCCCACUUCCCCGGUUCCCAUUGGCCCGGUGGCACAUUCCAAUCCCCUCGAUUGGCUGCGGGGUCGGGGAGGAUGAGGGCGUGGAGGGGGGGGGCUUCAUCCUGCGACCCCACAGACAGGAUGUUCUCUGUGUCACAACUCUACAAGGGGCCCUUGUCGAGGCUUUUUGUGUCGCUGUGGUGUUGUGUGUGUGUUUUUUUUUUUAACUCCUUCCUCUAUCGCCAUUCUUUUAAUUCUCUCCCUCCCUCCCGCUCGCUUUCUCUCCCGUUUGCUCUCCCUUCGUGCUCUUUGUGCACGAACAUUGGUGCAUGUCCUUGGUAAACGCUAUGAAAGUUCAACUUUCAAUGUUCCCGGGGACAGAAAUUUCAAGGGGCGAUUCUUGCCGGAGGAGAGUUUGAAAAGCCUCGGCGGUGAAGAGGUGCUCCUUUGCUCCGUCCUGAACCUGGCAUACAAUGUAGAUUUCUGUGUGGUUAAAUUCAACAGCUACAUUGUCUGCUGGGUUUCUGGCCAGUAACAUAAGCGGCGUUUAUGUAACUUCCGCACAAAAAAAAAAGGUAAGUAUUGAUUUGGUUUUUUUUCUGUCAAUGUGCCGCGAAUGCCCGACCCUGACAAUUCAAUAAAGAGGAAAUAUUUCUGAUUAAUCCUACUGAGUGGUGCGUGCUGUCAUUUGUCGGACUGAAAAUCAGAUUUGAAGAGAAGGAAAUAAACCUGGAAUCUGCAGAAUCUAAAUUGAUUCAGCGUUGCUGCGGCGUCCCAGGAGUUAACCCCGAGCCAGAGAUGCCAGGAAUAUUCCAGUAGCUCAGCACAAAGCCGGCUCGUUGUCUGUCAGGAGGCUGUCAGACGGCUGUCAGAUGGGCUCCUUAUUAGUGGAACACCAGUGUCUUCCAACACACACACACACACACACACACACACCUGGGAUUAUACCAAACUCUUCACACAAACCAACAAUGCUUUUGGAAUGCAUUCAUACCUCGGUGCGCUCCUGUGAAACUUUCUUUCACCUUCCACGAAGCCCCGUAGAGCCGAAAAUGAACUUUUACAUCUGCAUGUUUGUUUUCAUUGAAUUGUGAACACACUCACAUUUAAAAAUGUAAUUUGGCGAGUCUCAUUCAGCUCAUUUCUGGUGGUUCUCUCUCUUUCCUCAGCUCAGUAUGCGUUAAAUAUGACACAUUAAGAAGACUUUAUGUAGUGUUUAUGUAGCAAUUCAUUCAUUUAUUUACUUUCCUUUCAGCACAUGUCUGAGUUUACUUUUCUGUAAUCUCAUUAAAAGC